rnacentral:rRNA from 1 species
AUUGAACGCUGGCGGCAUGCCUUACACAUGCAAGUCGAACGGCAGCGCGGACUUCGGUCUGGCGGCGAGUGGCGAACGGGUGAGUAAUGUAUCGGAACGUACCAUUCAGUGGGGGAUAACGCAGCGAAAGUUGCGCUAAUACCGCAUAUUCUGUGCGCAGGAAAGCAGGGGAUCGCAAGACCUUGCGCUGAUUGAGCGGCCGAUAUCAGAUUAGCUAGUUGGUGAGGUAAAGGCUCACCAAGGCGACGAUCUGUAGCGGGUCUGAGAGGAUGAUCCGCCACACUGGAACUGAGACACGGUCCACACUCCUACGGGAGGCAGCAGUGGGGAAUUUUGGACAAUGGGCGCAAGCCUGAUCCAGCCAUGCCGCGUGAGUGAAGAAGGCCUUCGGGUUGUAAAGCUCUUUCGGCCGGGAAGAAAUCGUAUGGGUUAAUACCCUGUGCGGAUGACUGUACCGGCAUAAGAAGCACCGGCUAACUACGUGCCAGCAGCCGCCGUAACAC